rnacentral:rRNA from 1 species
GACGAACGCUGGCGGCGUGCUUAACACAUGCAAGUCGAGCGGUAAGGCACCUUCGGGUGUACACGAGCGGCGAACGGGUGAGUAACACGUGAGUAAUCUGCCCUCCACUUCGGGAUAAGCGCCGGAAACGGCGUCUAAUACCGAAUACGACGCAUUCUCGCAUGGGAUGUGCGUGGAAAGUUUUAUCGGUGGAGGAUGUGCUCGCGGCCUAUCAGCUUGUUGGUGAGGUAACGGCUCACCAAGGCUUCGACGGGUAGCCGGCCUGAGAGGGUGACCGGCCACACUGGGACUGAGACACGGCCCAGACUCCUACGGGAGGCAGCAGUGGGGAAUAUUGCACAAUGGGCGAAAGCCUGAUGCAGCGACGCCGCGUGAGGGAUGACGGCCUUCGGGUUGUAAACCUCUUUCAGUAGGGAAGAAGCGAAAGUGACGGUACCUGCAGAAGAAGCGCCGGCUAACUACGUGCCAGCAGCCGCAGUAAGAC